CCAGGUUUCUUGAGUAUUGGGGAUACAGCAGCAGGAGAGGAACAACACCAGUGGUGAGGGAAGAAUGUAUAAUGUCUGUGAUGAGAGGGGACGGAGAAGGAAGAGUAGCUUUAACAAAAACAGUUGGAAGAGGAUCUAAUUGGCAGGUUGAAGAUUUUGAUUUUUGAAUUAAUUUGGAGACGUCAUUGACUCAGGGUGAAGGCUGAAAGUAAAUUUGUUGGGGCAACCAGAUCUGGAACCGAUGAUAUUAAAGCAGCAGUGGGUAGAAGUUGCUUGUGGAAAAUGUGGAGGUGGCAGAUCCUCCCCCGAGUCCGACUCCAAAUGCUGCUGUGUGUCCACAUGCAGGUGCCUCCGUUUUGUGCGUUGCUUCUGUGGAAGCGGGAUGGCAGGAGUGGUCAGAUCCCCAGGAGGAGGGUUAGGGUAAUUUGAUUUGCUUUCUUUAUGUUGACUCAUUUACAUUAUUACUGACCUUUGACCUCUUGACUCUAGUGCGCGGGGGAUCUAACGAGGGACAGAGUAGGGCCCAUGCACUGGUUUCCACCCCUACGGUGGAGAUCAUUAUUUUGUUAUUUGUCUCUGACUAUGGCUCGUGCCUGCUUCUGUUGAUCACCCGGUUCCCUGGGUUCUGGGGUCUCGAGGGCUCAGCGGAUUUUCUCCUGGGAUGGGUUACUCUGGUAGGGGUUUUGGGUUUAUGCCCUUUCCGGUGACUUUCCCCUAAACCUAAAACUUUGGGUUUUAUUGCCUAAACCUAAAUUGGGGUUUAUAUUCUUCUGCCUACCUGCAUCCUGUUUAGUUUACUCACCUGGGUCUGGAUUUUAACUUGUAUACUUCCCUGCUUUAUGGGGAAUUACUUCUAUUUACCUGUCUGGUUUCCUCACCUGGGUCAUGAGUUUAACCUGUACUUACCUGUAUCCUGGGGAAUGACUACUGUUUACCUUUUGGUUUACUCACCUGGGCCCUGAGUUAAACCUGUAUACUUAUCUGCAUCCUAGGGACGUAACUACUGUUUACCUGUACUCACCUGGGUCCUGAGUUUAACCUAUAUAUUUACCUGCAUCCUGGGACAUACCUACUGUUUAUUUAUUUGGUUUACUCACCUGGGUCAUGAGUUUAACCUGUAUACUUACCUGCAUCCUGGGAAAUAACUACUGUUUCCCUGUAUGAUUUACUCACCUGGGUCCUGAGUUUAACCUAUAUAUUUACCUGCAUCCUGGGAAAUAACUACUGUUUACCUGUAUGAUUUACUCACCUGGGUCCUGAGUUUAACCUAUAUAUUUACCUGCAUCCUGGGACAUACCUACUGUUUAUUUAUUUGGUUUACUCACCUGGGUCCUGAGUUUAACCUGUAUACUUACCUGCAUCCUGGGAAAUAACUACUGUUUCCCUGUAUGAUUUACUCACCUGGGUCCUGAGUUUAACCUAUAUAUUUACCUGCAUACUGGGACAUACCUACUGUUUAUUUAUUUGGUUUACUCACCUGGGUCCUGAGUUUAACCUGUAUACUUACCUGCAUCCUGGAAAAUAACUACUGUUUCCCUGUGUGGUUUACUCACCAGGGCUCUGAGUUUAACCUGUAUACUUACCUGCAUCCUGGGAAAUAACUACUGUUUCCCUGUAUGAUUUACUCACCUGGGUCCUGAGUUUAACCUAUAUAUUUACCUGCAUCCUGGGAAAUAACUACUGUUUACCUGUGUGGUUUACUCACCGGGGCUCUGAGUUUAAUCUGCCGUAAUUAACUGCUUCCUGGUAUAAUUACUGUUUCCUUUUGGCUGACUCACCUGGGCCCUGAGUUUGACCUAUUGCUCUGAAUUAUUUACCUGCACUCUGUACGGUAUAAAUACAUUACCUGUUUUGAUUUUUUCAUAUGGGUUCUGAGUCUUAACCUGUAUUACUUACCUGUAUCUUGUAAAACAUGUUUACAUUGUUUACCUGUAUUAUGGUUCUUAUCUGUGAAUUUACCAUUUAUGCUGUACCUGUACAUCUGUCUGUACCUGUGUUUUAAUCAUUGCCUGUAUUGGAAUACUGGCCUGUAAUUACUGCGACAGCUGAUUGGUUCGGGAGAGAUGCUGUGGAAAUCUCGCGGCAGUUGGACGAGAUCUGGGAGGAGGGGAACGGUAUCUGAUGGACCUCUAAUCUCCAUCAGAUACCGUUCCCCCUGUGUUAAAAAGGGGGAACGGUAUCUGAUGGACCUCUAAUCUCCAUCAGAUACCGUUCCCCCUGUGUUAAAAAGGGGGAACGCUAUCUGAUGGAUCUCCACACCCUGUCAGAUACCGUUCCCCCUUUUUAACACAGGGGGAACGGUAUCUGAUGGAGUUUAUAGGACCGUCAGAUACCGUUUCCCCUGUUUUAUGCAUGGGGAAUCUGACGGGGUUUAUAGUACAUUUAUAGGACCAUAUAGGAUCACAACAGUAUAGAUAUCUGUAGUCUCUCUCUCUCUCUAUACGUCUGUGUGUAUAUAUAAAUAUGUGUCGUUAUAUUUACAUCUAUCUAUAAAGUGAUGAUAUAUUAGUUUAUCUAAUAACAAUACACUAGCUGAACAAAUGUAGAUCGACUUCUCCGAAACACGACAUUUGAGCUUUCAGGGUUACCGUAGUUCCCCUGUGGUGCGAGCACAGCGCGACGGUUCCGAGCCUGCAACAAGCACGCGCCUUUUUUGCCGUGUGAGCGGCAAAGAGACGCUGGGGAAACCGUAUCUGAUGGGGAAACGCGAAUCGACGUAACACUGGCUCACUUUGACCCCUGUGUAUGACUCACAAGGCUUCGAACGUCACCACAUAUGUCAUCAACACAAGCCUCGAUUCGCACUUCUCAAAACUUCCUGGAUUACUCAACAGGCUGUGUCGAGUGAGACGAAGUCUGUUUAACAGCUCCUCCCACUUGAGAUCAAGUUGUUGUGCUUCAUAGGUUGGAUUAUAUUAAAGCAACCCUUAUAUUAGCCUGAAUCCUGGACGACUAC